rnacentral:lncRNA from 1 species
GUUCUAAUGUAUUCUUUAAGAUAUGAUACAGAUACAAUGUAUUAAGAUAUGAUACCACAAACAUCAUAUUCCCCUGCGAGUACAUAACAGCAACACACAUAAAAAGUAACCUAAAAUAGCUUAAGUACAUUUCAUUUAACAGAUCGUAAUUUUUUAUCGCUAUGCAAACCGACAAUAAAUUUAGUAUUUCAUUUUCGAAAUUUUCGAGCCAACUUUUUACAAACUUUUAUUUCAGAAUCUGUGGUGUCUUGUUGUUGAGGAAGGCGAGUUACUGAAACACUUGAAGGUAUAAGUCUGUAAUUGUUUUGAAAGCCCUGGCUGGGUUAAUUAUGUGUGAUUUGUUAGUCAUUGUCGUAUACUCGUUAAGGUCCAGACACACCGGACGCGAUUCGACAACGCGACGCGAUUUUUUAGUUUUUGAAAGUUAAUAAAACAGCCAAUGAGAGCAAAUUUUAAAAGAUAUGUAGACCAAAUAACUCAAAAUGUUAUAACGCUUCUAAAUAUUUGGAA